AUAUCAGGCUAGUGAGACAGAAAAGUAUAUGUGUGUGUGUGUGUGUGUGUGUGUGUGUGUGUGUGUGUGUGUGUAUAUAUAUAUAUACAUAUAUAUAUAUAUAUAUAUGAAACACAUAUA
rnacentral:miRNA from 14 species